CAUGACGAUCCUUUAUGUUCUGCUGCUGCUAUUGAUGAUAAAAAGAGAGACGUUUGGACAGUCGAUAAAGCCGCAGGAAAACAAGGUGCUUAAAUCUGAAGGAGAAAAAGUCACUCUGUCCUGUAAAUAUGAUGGAACUGUACAAAACCUGCACUGGUAUCGUCAGUAUCUGGGAUCCAAACCAGAGUUCCUUGCAUUCAUUUAUCCACAUGGAACAACAAGUGACCCUCUUCCUCCUCGUCUUUUACCUAAAGUUGAUAAAAACAACAAUCUUGUGAGCCUGGAGAUCUCCUCUGCUGAAGUGUCAGACUCUGCUCUGUAUUACUGUGCACUGACGCCCACAGUCACAGGAAACUCAAUCUACACUGUACAAAAACUUCCUCAACAAUACAACUCUAUCCUCAUAAACUGAACUAUUUACCAACGCCAUUUAUUUUGAUCUAUUCCCUCCGGACUCAAAACAGUAAAAACCAUAAACCAUGAUGCAGAUGUUAAUAUGGAUAUGUGAAAUGUUAAUAUUAAUAUGUGAAACCUGCUUUAAAGAAGUAUACUUUAUACACACAUAUAUGGUUUCAGCAGACAGAUAUACUUCUUCAACAACAUCAACAACAAACUCCAAUGUAUUAUUUAAAAAAUAUUGAGAAGUUAGGUAAAAAAAAUGGUCGAUCUAAUAACAACAUUG